GAUGAACGCUGGCGGCGUGCCUAAUACAUGCAAGUCGAGCGAACAGACGAGGAGCUUGCUCCUCUGACGUUAGCGGCGGACGGGUGAGUAACACGUGGAUAACCUACCUAUAAGACUGGGAUAACUUCGGGAAACCGGAUCUAAUACCGGAUAAUAUAUUGAACCGCAUGGUUCAAUAGUGAAAGACGGUUUUGCUGUCACUUAUAGAUGGAUCCGCGCCGCAUUAGCUAGUUGGUAAGGUAACGGCUUACCAAGGCAACGAUGCGUAGCCGACCUGAGAGGGUGAUCGGCCACACUGGAACUGAGACACGGUCCAGACUCCUACGGGAGGCAGCAGUAGGGAAUCUUCCGCAAUGGGCGAAAGCUUGACGGAGCAACGCCGCGUGAUGGAUGAAGGUCUUCGGAUCGUAAAACUCUGUUAUGAGGGAAGAACAAAUGUGUAAGUAACUAUGCACGUCUUGACGGUACCUAAUCAGAAAGCCACGGCUAACUACGUG
rnacentral:rRNA from 1 species